rnacentral:rRNA from 1 species
GACGAACGCUGGCGGCGUGCUUAACACAUGCAAGUCGAACGGAAAGGCCCUGCUUUUGUGGGGUGCUCGAGUGGCGAACGGGUGAGUAACACGUGAGUAACCUGCACCUGACUUUGGGAUAACUUCAGGAAACUGGGGCUAAUACCGGAUAGGAGCUCCUGCUGCAUGGUGGGGGUUGGAAAGAUUCGGCGGUUGGGGAUGGACUCGCGGGUUAUCCGCUAGUUGGGGGGGUAGUGGCUUACCAAGGCUUUGAAGGGUAGCCGGCCUGGGAGGGUGACCGGCCACAUUGGGACUAAGGUACGGCCCAGUCUCCAACGGUAGGCAGCAGUGGAGAAUAUUACACAGUGGGCGGAAGCCUGAUGCAACAACGCCGCGUUCGGGAUGACGUCCUUCUGGUUGUAAACCGCUUUCGCCUUUGACGAAGCGUGAGUGACGGUAAUGGGUAAAGAAGCACCGGCUAACUACGUG